CGUUCUAUGCUUCCUUCCUCAGAUGCGAGAAAAGUUCCUCCUGGAGGAACGAGGUUUGGUCUGUGCCAACAACAGUGGCAGCACAACCUGAAAGGAGAAGGAAGAGACACAAACUGGAUUCUGUAGCCCUUUCCCACAUCAUCCAGUACCCACUGUGACAGACCUGGCAGAAAGGUUUUGGUGUUUAAGGAACUCAAACACAGACCAAUGCAAAAACCCACCGUAUGUUUAUAACAGCUCAAUAAACAUGAAGUCAGACUUUGAGUUCACUGGAGACGACAAAUCAGACUGUACUUUAUUAAUCCACAAUGUACAGUUCAGUUAUUCUGGAGUUUACAGAUUCAGAUUUAUUACUGAUGUGGUAGAUGGACAGGUGAACAUGGAGCGACUCUACAAGUUACAGAUUUAAAGGUGUCACUAAUCAGACUCAGUGGAAACGGAACCCUUAAACAAGGAGACUCCUUAAAUCUGACGUGUGAUGUGAGCUGUACACACACUUCCUCACAGUUUGUGUGGUCUAAGAACAACCAGCGUUUAUAUACAUCAGGACCCGUUCUUCACUUUCCUGCUCUAACCGUGAGGGAUUCUGGGAAUUACACCUGCACUUGGGGAACCGGUGAGACGUCAGGAUCUGAAACCAUCAGCCUUCAGGUGGAGGAUGAUGACACUGAAAAUCCUGAACGUUGGUUGAUGUGGGUUAUUGUUUGUGUGACUGCCGGAGUGAUUGUCGUCAUCACAGGAGCUGUGAUUCACAAAAGGAGGAGUGUCCACACCGAGCAGAAGAAUGAGGACGAUUCUGCAAUCUACGCUAAUGUAUAAUACAGUGAGCUGAUCACAGUUUCACACCUCAUGCUCAGCUUAAAAACUUGUCAACUUGUCAAAUUACACACAAACAUUUCCUGUAUGUUGCAUCUGCGCUUCAUUUCAUGAUAGAUGGCUGUUUAUUGUGUUAACGUUUCUAGUUUCGAUAACUGCUUUAGCACUGAAAUAUUCAUGAAGUUUCUAGUUAAUAUAAAACUGAUACACAAAAAACUGAAACUUGCACAACCUGCAACACAACCAACACACACUUAUCUGUACACUUGGCAUACUGAGUAAAUACUUCCAGCUUCUGUGUUAAACCACAUCUUUUACACUUACAGAACAAUAAAAUUGUGUUUAAGUUCUAAA